GCACUGGUGGCUCAGUGGUAGAAUUCUCGCCUCCUAUGCGGGAGACCCUGGUUCAAUUCCCGACCAAUGCA